rnacentral:rRNA from 1 species
GAUGAACGCUGGCGGCGUGCCUAAUACAUGCAAGUCGAACGAACAGACGAUGAGCUUGCUCCUCUGACGUUAGCGGCGGACGGGCGAGUAACACGUGGAUAACCUACCUAUAAUACUGGGAUAACUUCGGGAAACCGGAUCUAAUACCGGAUAAUAUAUUGAACCGCAUGGUUCAAUAGUUAAAGACGGUUUUGCUGUCACUUAUAGAUGGAUCCGCGCCGCAUUAGCUAGUUGGUAAGGUAACAGCUUACCAAGGAGACGAUGCCUAGCCGACCUGAGAGGGUGGUCGGCCAAAACUGAAAUGAGACACGGUCCAGACUCCUAAGGGAGGCAGCAGUAGGGAAACUUCCGCAAUGGGCGAAAGCCUGACGGAGCAAAGCCGCGUUAGUGAUGAAGGGCUUUGGAUCGGAAAACUCUGUUAUUAGGGAAGAACAAAUGUGUAAGUAACUAUGCACGGCUUGACGGUACCUAAUCAGAAAGCCACGGCUAACUACGUG